rnacentral:rRNA from 1 species
AGGCUCCGUCUCGGGAGUGCACCACCCGACCGUGUGCCUUGUCCAUCUAGGAUGAGCGCCCUGGAGCUAUCAAUGCGCAAAUAUGCCGAGCAACCAGACAAGAGUGUGGUGCAUCCUGAGCUAGGUCUCACUUUUGAUUCACUUGGUGAGGCAUAUGAUUUCUACAACUUGUAUUCCUAGGAAAUUGGAUUCGGAAUAAGAUAUGGAAAAAGCAGGCUAAAUGCUGAGAGGAGGAAAACCAUGCAGGAAAUAGUAUGUGGUUGUUCGGGUAAACCAGAUGCCGAGAAUAGCAGGUCAUGCAGGUGCGAGUGCCCGGCUCUAAUCAGAUUGCUUCGUUCGUCAGACAAUAGUUGGUACAUAACGGAGCACCGGGCGAGCCACAAUCAUUCUAUGUCGCUUACAAUGGGAGAAAAAGUGCACUGGCCAUCGCAUAAGCACAUAGACGUCUACACCAAAGACUUAAUAAGGCAGUUGAGGGAGAACAACGUCAACCUAGGCAAGGUUUAGAGCAUAAUUGGUAGCUUCUUCGUUUCGGUUGAAAAGGUUCCAUUCACUAAAAGGACACUCAGAAACAUUUGUGGAAAGAUUAGUCGCGAGCAAGCCGAAGAUGAUGUACGGAAGACACUGCAGGUGUUCGCCGACAUCCGGUCGAAGGACCCUGACUUCUCCUAUGUGGUUCUGGCUGAGAAGGACAGCAAGGUGAAGAAUCUCAUGUGGGCAACUAGGAGCAGCAGGAUGCAGUACAGGUUCUUUGGCGACGUGGUGACAUUUGACACCACGUACAGAACAAAUCUGUAUGACAUGCCAUUCGGUCUUUUCGUUGGAGUUAACAAUCACUAUCAGAGUAUCAUCCUGGCAGGAGUUUUGAUGCGUGACGAGCAAGAGGAAAGCUUCGAAUGGGUGUUUACAGAAUUCAUUCGCAUGAUGGGCGGACCUGCGCCAAAGACAAUACUCACAGGUGAAUGA